rnacentral:lncRNA from 1 species
AAUGCCUUCACGACACAGGAGCUCACUGACAACGCACUAGGACUUGUAGCAGUCACGGUGACUCUGUUCAUGGACUGGAACAUAAGAAAUUUAACCAAUUCACUUUCUUGGAGGUCAAAAGAAGAAGGCUUCAGCUUGGUAUUUUAUCUCUAA